rnacentral:lncRNA from 1 species
UGUAUAAUUUCUUGACUUAUUUACAUAUUUUGGAUAUUAGUCCCUGUCAGAUAUAGAGGUGAAGAAGAUCUUUCCCCAUUCUGUAGGCUACAAUUUUGUCCUUAUCCUUGCAAAAUCUUUUCAGUUUCAUGAGGUUCCAUUUAUUUAUUGUUAACUUUAGUGCCUGAGCUAUUGGUAUUCUGUUCAGGAAUUUUUCUUCUGUGCCAAUAAAUUCAAAAGACAGUUCCUCACUUUCUCUUCUAUUUGAUUUAGUGUGGCAAGUUUUAUGUUAAGGUCUUUGAUCUACUUGAUAUUGAAUAUUAUGCAGCGUGAUAGAUAUGUGUCUAUUUGCAUUCUUCUAAAUGCAGACAUCCAGUUAGACGAGCACCAAUUAUUGAAGACAUUUUGGAUUUAUAAUUGUAUGGUUUUGGAUUCUUUGUAAAAAAAUAUCAGAUUUCUAGAUGUGUGGAUUUUAUUUCUGUGUCUUUCAAUCUAUUUCACUGAUCAAUCUGUCUUUAUGUCAAUACCAUGCAUUGUUUUCUUUUUCCUUUUCAUUUUCUUUUCUUACCAUUGCUCUGUAGUACAGCUUUUGAUAGGGAUUGUGAUAUCUCCAGAUGUUCUUUUAUUGUACAGGAUUAUAUUAGCUAUCCUUGGUGUUUUGUUUUUUAAUAUAAAUUUAAUAAUUGCUCUUUCAAGAUCUGUAAAGAGUUGUAUUCAAAUUUUGAUGGAAAUUGAAUCGACUCCAGUCUCCAUCUGCACCCCAAGGCUAAGCCUUCUGAACAGAGACUUUGCUAGGAAAAAGGUGGUCUUCCAGGAGUGCUCACAAUCCUAAGCUCAAAGGUGAGAUCACCAAUUUUGCUCCAAUAACUGUAAAAAGUCAGACACACAAGGAGUGCUAACACACCUUAGAUCAAAGGCUCACAGGUCCAAGGAAGGGCAAGCUCCACUCAGAGACAGAAAGACCCAUUAACACCAGAGAUAACCAGAUUGUGAGAGGCAAGCACAAGAAACUUACUAACAGAAACGAAGUUUACUUGGCAUCAUUGUGGUGGAUCCUAGUUAUCCACCACAGCAAGUCCUGGAUAUCCCAACAAACUGGAAAAGCAAGAUUCAGAUUGAAAAUCACAAUGCAUUAUGAUGAUAGAGAUGAUGGAGGACUUUAAGAAGGACAUAAAUCACUCCCCUAAAGAUAUACAGGAGAACACAGGUAAACAGGUAGAAACCCUUAAAAAGGAAACACAAAAAUUCCUUAAAUAAUUACAGGAAAAUACAACCAAACAGGUGAAGGAAUUGAACAAAACUAUUCAGGAUCUAAAAAUGGAAAUAGAAACAAUAAAGAAAUCACAAAGGGAGAUAACUCUGGAGAUAGAAAACCCAGGGGAGAGAUCAAGAGUCAUAGAUGAAAACACCACCAACAGAAUACAAGAGAGAGAAGAGAAAAUCUCAGGUGCAGAAGACAUCAUAGAAAACAUUGACAAAACAGUCAAAGAAAAUGAAAAAUGCAAAAAGCUUCUAACCCAAAACAUCUAGGAAGUCCAGGACAUAGUGAGAAGACCAAACCUAAGAAUAAAAGGUACAAAACAAAGCAAAGAUUCCCAACGUAAAGGGGCAGUAAAUAUCUUUAACAAAAUUAUGGAAGAAAACUCCCCUAACCUAAAGAAAGAGAUGCCCAUGAACAUACAAGACACCUACAGAAUUGCAAAUAGAUAGGACCAGAAAAGAAAUUCCUUCUGUUACAUAAUAAUCAAAAUUUCAAAUGCACAAAACAAAGAAAAAUAUUAAAAACAUUAAGGGAAAAAGUCAGGUAGCAUAUAAAGACAGACCUAUUAGAAUUACACCAGACUUCUCACUGGAGACUAAAAAAGCC